AGGAAGUCAUCAUCUUGUCUUCCUGUAAGAUAGGAAGUCAUCAAUCUGACGAUCGAGUGAGAUCGUCCUGUCCCAUAGCAUCGCGGCAUUGGAUUUGGAGGCUACUGGGGGUACAUGAGACAUUACAGGAGGGCUGUAGAAGAAAGCCCCCACCUUGCUGAAACUGAUCCCGUGUGAAUCUCGGCCCUGCCACUGCGAAUCAAAAACGUAAUGUAACAACAGCACGCCUCGUUUAUUUCAAUUCCGGCCCUGAGGAGCCACCAGAAUGGACGGCACUAAUAAAGAAAACUCGCCAGCCCUCCCAGUGGGCUGGCAAAGUAACAAUGGCUCGUUCCAACGACGGCUGACGGGUCGCAAGCAGAGUUACCGAUCUGUGGCAUCACGUGACAGAGAUGCGGGCUUUUCUCUUCAUGCUUGUCACCUGAGGCAAUGGCUCCUACAGCUCUGGACACCGCAUUAACAAUUGAGGCAAGAAAAAGCUAGACUUCUCGCCCUUUCCCCAUCAGAUGUGCACUCACUCCUAGUUGGACAAGACUGUGUCAUGUGGCCACUCGUAUCUUCUCAGGAUCUGGGAAAUGGAAACAUGUCCCUUAAUUGGGGGACACAUCAACAAUUGGGGCACAAAAAAAUAAUUUGUUUCCCAAAUAAAAUUGCAGUUAAUGGACGUCCA
rnacentral:lncRNA from 1 species